UAAGGAGUUCCCGUUUGGUUGGUUAAACUUGUCCUGAUAUGUGGAAGUCUCAUGAGGAAUUGUCACUGAAGAGACCCCAGAAGUUGAAGAGUCUGGAAAAUGAGCUCCAGAGUCCGAGGAACAAUGUUCAUGUGUCAGACAUCUUAUCUCUCUAAGAAUCUUGGAGAUUCUUUUAAAGGUGAAACUUUUCGGCUUUAGAUUAUAAUACUCUUAAAUAUGAAGUAUAUUUCCACCCUCUCACCUCCAUCUUCCUAGCCGAUAAAAAAGUUUCUGGGAGAAAGAGGAAAGGAUUGAAUACCUCAACUGAACUUAAAGGAGAGAGCAAAUGCUGUAUUUUGGACCAUGCUUAAAUGAAGAUGAGCUAGAAGAGGAUGAAACUGUUAAAAAUAUGUGAGUUUAUUUUACAGUUAAAGGAAUGAUUCAACUUUGUUAUAAUGGUAUUCUUCUAUGAAACUCCCUAGUAGGAAAUUUUC